rnacentral:rRNA from 1 species
UACGUAGGGUGCGAGCGUUAAUCGGAAUUACUGGGCGUAAAGCGUGCGCAGGCGGUUCGUGAUGUCUGGUGUGAAAGCCCCGGGCUCAGCCCGGGAAGGGCGCUCGAAACGGCGCGGCUCGAGUGCCGGAGGGGAGAGUGGAAUUCCUGGUGUAGCGGUGAAAUGCGUAGAUAUCAGGAGGAACACCCGUGGCGAAAGCGGCUCUCUGGGACGGUACUGACGCUGAGACGCGAAAGCCAGGGGAGCGAACGGG